rnacentral:rRNA from 1 species
GGCAUGGAUAUUUUAGUUAGGCCUGCCCACUGAUUUUUAAUGGCCGCGGUAUUUUGACCGUGCAAAGGUAGCAUAAUCAUUUGUCUUUUAAUUGAAGGCUGGUAUGAAUGGUUUGAUGAGAAAAAUUCUUUAUUAAUUUAAUUUGAAUAAUUUGAUUUUUUAGUCAAAAAGCUUAAAUUUUAUUAUGGGACGAUAAGACCCUAUAGAACUUUACUUUUCGUUUAAUUAUUAUUAUUUAGAUUAUUUUAUUUUUCAUUAAUUUAAAAGUUGGAUUGGGGCGAUUUUGAGAAUUUUUUAACUCUCAAAUUAUAAUAUCACUAAUUUGUGUUUUUUUGAUCCAUUAUUAUGAUUAUUAGUUUAAGUUACCUUAGGGAUAACAGCGUAAUUUAUUUAGAGAGUCCUAAUCGAUAAAUAAGUUUGCGA